AACCCUUUUUGUUAUCAAAACAAAGUUCUACUGCUACUAUUGAAAUUGGUAUAAAGGCAAAACAGAGUGGGAGAUGAACAAUUUUUUGAGAAGAAACGAUGAUGAUGAUGAAAAGGGUUUGCUUUGGAAGCUUCCAGAAGUCAGAUUCAAAGAAUUUGGAAAACUGGGCCCCGCUUUCGGCCUCGGCGCCGGCUGCGGUGUUGGCUUCGGCAUUGGCCUCGUCGGAGGGAUAGGACUGGGACCUGGAAUUCCUGGAUUGCAAAUGGGCAUCGGGUUCGGAGCAGGAUGUGGAAUCGGGUAUGGGUUCGGGUAUGGAGUGGGUAAAGGCGUAGCUCAUGAUGACAAGAGAAGGUACUCUAAUGUUGGCAACCUCUUUCAUUCUCACGCAAACCAUCUUCCUACCCAGGAUGAAAUUGCUAGCGUUAUCGAUGAGCUAGUGAUCAACACAAAGAAGCUAGUCAAAGCAACAUCAAGAGAAAUAGAGAAGUGGAGAAAAUGAGCUGAAGGGAUUAUUGAUGUACAAUCAAAUUAUUAUGACCUCAUAAUCACACUGUCACAGCUAGUCGGUGAGAUUGGCACCCCGGGCUGGAUCCCGCCCCAGGCUAGGAGUGAUUGUGCCACUGCUUGCAUAUUCUCACUACCUACCUUUGGUCGAUGUUUACUGAGGUACUGUUUGGUUUGUGAAAAAUUGGAUGUAGUAGUACUUAUGAGAUUUUUUUUAA